rnacentral:lncRNA from 1 species
GAUUGGCAACUAGAUGUCGCCACGAAAAAUCAGUAGAAUCAGUUGGUGGAGUAUUUUUACGUUUAUAGGUAGGCAUGCAACUCUAUAAAAUCUGUAAGGGACGGCUGUGGCAACGCUAGAUGGCGGCUAAAGCAUAA